rnacentral:lncRNA from 13 species
AUGCCGGGAAGGGUAGUCCUAAGCGCCUCCUACUCGGCCCUGGCCCGCGACUCCGGACUACACUUCCCAGGAAGCCGCGCGCGAGGCCCCCGCCCCGCCCCUUCGCCCCCGGGUCCUAAGGAUCAUUGGCGCGCACUCCAGAAAGUGGGUUCGAGUCUCGCCCCUGCCGCGGCCUUACGAGGCGCGCCCACGUUCUCUGGACGCAGCUCUCAAGCUGUAAAAUGGGGACAGUGCUCGCACGGCGUCCACAGGAUGGCUUUGCGUCGAAUUAGAUACCGAAAUGUAACUGUUCUGCGAGCCGUCAGUCCCGCACGAAAGGGACAGCUGAUAGUGGGCCAGGAGGAGCUGAGUACAAGGGAUCAGGGAACGCGCCGACGUGGCCUCCGCCCGGCCCCCUCCCCUCUGGGGAUCGGCCUCUUCCGUCCUCCCGGGGUCGCCCCAGAACCCUCCCCCACCCGGGACUCUUGCCUCAGCGGGACCUUGGCGGACCACAAGCUGGGGCACCCCGGGAGGUCGAUGGCCAGCUCGGCGGAAAACCCGGACGCGGCGGGGGUCUCGGGGCUCACGGACCCGGGUGCGCGGCCACUUCCGAUCGUCCGGAGGCCCCUAGGGGGGACCCGGCUGGCCGCAGCCAUCCGGACGCCCGACCCUCCCCGCGCGCCUUCCGCCCCGAGGGGUGAGAGGCGGCCCAGCCCCACCCGCCGCGCCCUCCUGCCCGGGCGCCCGGACCCCUCGCUGCGCCCACCCUCUCCGCGGGCGGCCGGGGCCAGGCGGUCAAGGAGCUGCGCGCUGCGGGCCACGGCGCUGACGGGGGUGCGGGGUGAGUGGCCAACGAGGGGUCCGGGCGAUUUGCCGCCGGUGCAGAGGACUCGCUGCCUGCCAGCUGCUGCGCCACCUGCCCGCCCCGCGCGCCUGCUCUGGUCCGGCAGCGCAGCCCGGGCCCACGACUUCCUCCGCCACGACCCGGCUUCUUGGCUGCCCCGGCGCUGGCGCUGGCGCUGGGCUUAG